GACGAACGCUGGCGGCGUGCUUAACACAUGCAAGUCGAGCGGAAAGGCCACUUCGGUGGUACUCGAGCGGCGAACGGGUGGGUAACACGUGAGUAAUCUGCCCCUGGCUUUGGGAUAGCCACCGGAAACGGUGAUUAAUACCGGAUACGACCACUUCUCGCAUGGGAUGGUGGUGGAAAGUUUUUUCGGCCAGGGAUGUGCUCGCGGCCUAUCAGCUUGAUGGUGAGGUAAUGGCUCACCAUGGCUUCGACGGGUAGCCGGCCUGAGAGGGUAACCGGUCACAAUGGGACUGAGACACGGCCCAGACUCCUACGGGAGGAAGCAGUGGGGAAUAUUGGACAAUGGGCGGAAGCCUGAUCCAGCAACGCCGCGUGAGGGAUGACGGCCUUCGGGUUGUAAACCUCUUUCAGCAGGGACGAAGCGCAAGUGACGGUACCUGCAGAAGAAGCACCGGCCAACUACGUGCCAGCCGCCGCAGUAA
rnacentral:rRNA from 1 species